GGCAGGUGUGUAUAGCAAGGGGAGGGGGGUGUAAUGGACUAAAGAUACCACCACACUCACAAACUUUAUUAAUUAAUGUGAGAAUGCCAUGCUGACUUUGUGAAAAAAUAUUAUGAUUCUGGCAAACAUUGACCAACAUGGGAAAAUUUAUUUAAACAACAUACAACUUCAACAAAUCGUGAUACAGCCAAGCAUAUUUAUUAUUAUUAUUAUUAUUUAAAAAUUUUUAAAACGGUAACCCGUCAGGGCUCAAAUAUACACCUGCUUUUCAAGGGGCCGUUUACAUGCAUCACACUAAUAAAAUUUGCUAAUAUAAUAUUACACACAUAUUAAAGCUUAGAUAAAAAUAUUUACAAACAAGUAUAUGUAUAGUACUGAAAUCAUGUACCGUCAAGAAUACAUUUAAAUUUGUUUAAGCCAAUGCCUUUUUCUUUAGCGGCAGUGGGCAAGCUGUUCCAAAGUGAUGCAGCAGAGUAACUAAAGCUCUUUUUCAUAAAGUUUGUUUCUGGCUUUUCAAGUGUAUAGUUGUUAUCAUUACUUCGCAAGUUAUACCUAUCAUUUGCAAUUUUGAACAUGUUUGUUAAAGACGAUGGCAGUGCGUCAUUUCUUAGUUUAUGCAAGAAGCUUG